CAUUUUUGAAUCAAUUUUUGUGUGGUUUGUUUGAUCUUUACAUGCAUUUAUUGAAUUAUUAUUUAAACUUUUGAUUAAUUACACUUUAGUGUUACUAAUGUUUGGCAUACAACUUGUUUCUAAAUCUCCCCUUUUUGUUUGAGAGGCAUUAAACAGUAUAUAAAUUUCAUUUUUUAUAGGACACUCUUGGGGUAUCAAGAAUUGUAUACUACUAGUUACAAAUAUUCCUUUUCUACAAAGUCAAUCAAUGAUUAUGUGAUAUAGAAUACUUUAUAAUAUUGGCUUUUGGUGUUCUAUUGCGCGUGUUGUUUCUAUCGAUCUUGUUUUAUUUUUGCAAUUGUUGUGUUCCUUCGAGUGUUUUUUUUUUUUAUAAAAUCUGAGCUUAUAUUUUAGGUUUAUCUACUAAUUUCCCUGCUGAAGUGGCGAGGAGCCCGAGACAAGUGCAUUAUGAGUUUGUUAUUACCGAAUAUAUAUCAGCUUGUAACGCAUACUCAAUAGAUCUGUGAGGGCUAGUUCUCUGUAACCUAUCAAAUGAGUCUAAAUCUUAAACAAACAAGUCUUAAGAAACAUCUUAAAUAUCCUCUAUAUCACAAUUGUAUUGCACCUGCUUGGAGCGCAUACUCAAUAGAUUUGUGAGGGCUAGUUCUCUGUGAGGAUAUUUGAUGUAUUCAUUAGUUAUGUUUGAUCUUGAGAAAUGUCUUUCUUUAGUUGUUUGAA